rnacentral:rRNA from 1 species
AGUGAACGCUGGCGGUAGGCCUAACACAUGCAAGUCGAACGGCAGCACAGUAAGAGCUUGCUCUUACGGGUGGCGAGUGGCGGACGGGUGAGGAAUACAUCGGAAUCUACUUUUUCGUGGGUGAUAACGUAGGGAGACUUACGCUAAUACCGCAUACGACCUACGGGUGAAAGCAGGGGAUCUUCGGACCUUGCGCGAUUGAAUGAGCCGAUGUCGGAUUAGCUAGUUGGCGGGGUAAAGGCCCACCAAGGCGACGAUCCGUAGCUGGUCUGAGAGGAUGAUCAGCCACACUGGAACUGAGACACGGCCCAGACUCCUACGGGAGGAAGCAGUGGGGAAUAUUGGACAAUGGGCGAAGGCCUGAUCCAGCCAUACCGCGUGGGUGAAGAAGGCCUUCGGGUGGUAAAGCCCUUUUGUUGGGAAAGAAAAGCAGCAGGUUAAUACCCCGCUGUUCUGACGGUACCCAAAGAAUAAGCACCGGCUAACUUCGUG